AAUUUCAUGGGGGAUCAGCUCAUAGCGUAUAUUAAGUUGUUGUGGUUAAAAAGCUCGUAGUUGAACCUUGGGCCUGGCUGGCCGGUCCGCCUCACCGCGUGCACUGGUCCGGCCGGGCCUUUCCCUCUGGGGAACCCCAUGCCCUUCACUGGGCGUGGCGGGGAAACAGGACUUUUACUUUGAAAAAAUUAGAGUGUUUAAAGCAGGC
rnacentral:rRNA from 1 species